rnacentral:rRNA from 1 species
GGUUAAGCGACUAAGCGUACACGGUGGAUGCCCUGGCAGUCAGAGGCGAUGAAGGACGUGCUAAUCUGCGAUAAGCGUCGGUAAGGUGAUAUGAACCGUUAUAACCGGCGAUUUCCGAAUGGGGAAACCCAGUGUGAUUCGUCACACUAUCAUUAACUGAAUCCAUAGGUUAAUGAGGCGAACCGGGGGAACUGAAACAUCUAAGUACCCCGAGGAAAAGAAAUCAACCGAGAUUCCCCCAGUAGCGGCGAGCGAACGGGGAGCAGCCCAGAGCCUGAAUCAGUGUGUGUGUUAGUGGAAGCGUCUGGAAAGGCGCGCGAUACAGGGUGACAGCCCCGUACACAAAAAUGCACAUGCUGUGAGCUCGAUGAGUAGGGCGGGACACGUGGUAUCCUGUCUGAAUAUGGGGGGACCAUCCUCCAAGGCUAAAUACUCCUGACUGACCGAUAGUGAACCAGUACCGUGAGGGAAAGGCGAAAAGAACCCCGGCGAGGGGAGUGAAAAAGAACCUGAAACCGUGUACGUACAAGCAGUGGGAGCACGCUUAGGCGUGUGACUGCGUACCUUUUGUAUAAUGGGUCAGCGACUUAUAUUCUGUAGCAAGGUUAACCGAAUAGGGGAGCCGAAGGGAAACCGAGUCUUAACUGGGCGUUAAGUUGCAGGGUAUAGACCCGAAACCCGGUGAUCUAGCCAUGGGCAGGUUGAAGGUUGGGUAACACUAACUGGAGGACCGAACCGACUAAUGUUGAAAAAUUAGCGGAUGACUUGUGGCUGGGGGUGAAAGGCCAAUCAAACCGGGAGAUAGCUGGUUCUCCCCGAAAGCUAUUUAGGUAGCGCCUCGUGAAUUCAUCUCCGGGGGUAGAGCACUGUUUCGGCAAGGGGGUCAUCCCGACUUACCAACCCGAUGCAAACUGCGAAUACCGGAGAAUGUUAUCACGGGAGACACACGGCGGGUGCUAACGUCCGUCGUGAAGAGGGAAACAACCCAGACCGCCAGCUAAGGUCCCAAAGUCAUGGUUAAGUGGGAAACGAUGUGGGAAGGCCCAGACAGCCAGGAUGUUGGCUUAGAAGCAGCCAUCAUUUAAAGAAAGCGUAAUAGCUCACUGGUCGAGUCGGCCUGCGCGGAAGAUGUAACGGGGCUAAACCAUGCACCGAAGCUGCGGCAGCGACGCUGAUGCGUUGUUGGGUAGGGGAGCGUUCUGUAAGCCUGCGAAGGUGUGCUGUGAGGCAUGCUGGAGGUAUCAGAAGUGCGAAUGCUGACAUAAGUAACGAUAAAGCGGGUGAAAAGCCCGCUCGCCGGAAGACCAAGGGUUCCUGUCCAACGUUAAUCGGGGCAGGGUGAGUCGACCCCUAAGGCGAGGCCGAAAGGCGUAGUCGAUGGGAAACAGGUUAAUAUUCCUGUACUUGGUGUUACUGCGAAGGGGGGACGGAGAAGGCUAUGUUGGCCGGGCGACGGUUGUCCCGGUUUAAGCGUGUAGGCUGGUUUUCCAGGCAAAUCCGGAAAAUCAAGGCUGAGGCGUGAUGACGAGGCACUACGGUGCUGAAGCAACAAAUGCCCUGCUUCCAGGAAAAGCCUCUAAGCAUCAGGUAACAUCAAAUCGUACCCCAAACCGACACAGGUGGUCAGGUAGAGAAUACCAAGGCGCUUGAGAGAACUCGGGUGAAGGAACUAGGCAAAAUGGUGCCGUAACUUCGGGAGAAGGCACGCUGAUAUGNNNNNNNNNNNNNNNNNNNNNNNNNNNNNNNNNNNNNNNNNNNNNNNNNNNNNNNNNNNNNNNNNNNNNNNNNNNNNNNNNNNNNNNNNNNNNNNNCGUGGAGCUGAAAUCAGUCGAAGAUACCAGCUGGCUGCAACUGUUUAUUAAAAACACAGCACUGUGCAAACACGAAAGUGGACGUAUACGGUGUGACGCCUGCCCGGUGCCGGAAGGUUAAUUGAUGGGGUCAGCGCAAGCGAAGCUCUUGAUCGAAGCCCCGGUAAACGGCGGCCGUAACUAUAACGGUCCUAAGGUAGCGAAAUUCCUUGUCGGGUAAGUUCCGACCUGCACGAAUGGCGUAAUGAUGGCCAGGCUGUCUCCACCCGAGACUCAGUGAAAUUGAACUCGCUGUGAAGAUGCAGUGUACCCGCGGCAAGACGGAAAGACCCCGUGAACCUUUACUAUAGCUUGACACUGAACAUUGAGCCUUGAUGUGUAGGAUAGGUGGGAGGCUUUGAAGUGUGGACGCCAGUCUGCAUGGAGCCGACCUUGAAAUACCACCCUUUAAUGUUUGAUGUUCUAACGUUGACCCGUAAUCCGGGUUGCGGACAGUGUCUGGUGGGUAGUUUGACUGGGGCGGUCUCCUCCUAAAGAGUAACGGAGGAGCACGAAGGUUGGCUAAUCCUGGUCGGACAUCAGGAGGUUAGUGCAAUGGCAUAAGCCAGCUUGACUGCGAGCGUGACGGCGCGAGCAGGUGCGAAAGCAGGUCAUAGUGAUCCGGUGGUUCUGAAUGGAAGGGCCAUCGCUCAACGGAUAAAAGGUACUCCGGGGAUAACAGGCUGAUACCGCCCAAGAGUUCAUAUCGACGGCGGUGUUUGGCACCUCGAUGUCGGCUCAUCACAUCCUGGGGCUGAAGUAGGUCCCAAGGGUAUGGCUGUUCGCCAUUUAAAGUGGUACGCGAGCUGGGUUUAGAACGUCGUGAGACAGUUCGGUCCCUAUCUGCCGUGGGCGCUGGAGAACUGAGGGGGGCUGCUCCUAGUACGAGAGGACCGGAGUGGACGCAUCACUGGUGUUCGGGUUGUCAUGCCAAUGGCACUGCCCGGUAGCUAAAUGCGGAAGAGAUAAGUGCUGAAAGCAUCUAAGCACGAAACUUGCCCCGAGAUGAGUUCUCCCUGACUCCUUGAGAGUCCUGAAGGAACGUUGAAGACGACGACGUUGAUAGGCCGGGUGUGUAAGCGCAGCGAUGCGUUGAGCUAACCGGUACUAAUGAACCGUGAGGCUUAACCUU